rfam:Brachypodium distachyon strain Bd21 chromosome 2, whole genome shotgun sequence.
UUCUGCCGAUGAUGGCUUGCAACACUAUUUGCCAACAUCGUUUGACAAAUACGUCCGUGAUGAAACUGCUACACUGAGGCAUGA